rnacentral:rRNA from 1 species
GACGAACGCUGGCGGCGUGCCUAAUACAUGCAAGUAGAACGCUGAAGGAGGAGCUUGCUCUUCUGGAUGAGUUGCGAACGGGUGAGUAACGCGUAGGUAACCUGCCUGGUAGCGGGGGAUAACUAUUGGAAACGAUAGCUAAUACCGCAUAAGAGUAGAUGUUGCAUGACAUUUGCAUAAAAGGUGCAAUUGCAUCACUACCAGAUGGACCUGCGUUGUAUUAGCUAGUUGGUGGGGUAACGGCUCACCAAGGCGACGAUACAUAGCCGACCUGGGAGGGGGAUCGGCCACACUGGGACUGAGACACGGCCCAGACUCCUACGGGAGGCAGCAGUAGGGGAUCUUCGGUAAUGGACGGAAGUCUGACCGAGCAACGCCGCGUGAGUGAAGAAGGUUUUCGGAUCGUAAAGCUCUGUUGUAAGAGAAGAACGAGUGUGAGAGUGGAAAGUUCACACUGUGACGGUAUCUUACCAGAAAGGGACGGCUAACUACGUG